rnacentral:misc_RNA from 1 species
AAAGAAGAAAAAAAAAAGUAAAAAGAGAGAGAACGCAGGAAAAUUAGUGCCGUAGAUUGAUUAAAAAUGGCAUGACUGUAAGAGAAUAAAGAAUAGAAGAAGAGAAAAUGAGGAGAGGAGAAAAAAAAUAGUUCAAAAGAAAAGAAGAAAAACAUGAGUGUUGCAACAGACUUGAGAGAAGGAAAGAAUUGAAGAAGAGAGGAGAGGCGAGAG